AGGUGUAAUGCAGUCAAAAACUGUGUGAGAAUAAGGAGAGUGUCUCGACAUCAUAAAACAGGAAUUGUACCUGGAUCAGGAAGAGUUUGCUCUUGUCCGUCAUUGACGGGCCUCUGAAGUAGCUGUAGAUCUCUGACAGUUUCACGGCAUGUCCGUCAGCACCAAACACAACACCCUCCUCACCAUGACUGGAUAUGAUGCCCAUAAAACAGUCUUUGACCGUCUUCUCGCUCUCUGAGGAUGGAGGACAGAGUUAAGAAGCCGAGUUUGGUGAGGAUUUUGUGAAGCCUUUGAGUGUCUUUCUUCACGCCGCUUCUCCUGCUCAGAUCUACAUCUGGAUAGAAGUUCCCCACUGACACUAUUAACGCUCUGUUCCUCACAGUCUUGCUGGCUGUGAAAGGAUAUCUAAAAAAAGACAUGAUUCUCUCUUCU